CUUCUGCCAAAACCCAAAUUUUCUAUGGUUGACCUCGGAUCAGGUAGGGAUACCCGCUGAACUUAAGCAUAUCAAUAAGCGGAGGA
rnacentral:rRNA from 1 species